GUGUCAGCCGCCGCGGUAAAACGUAGGAGGCGAGCGUUAUCCGGAUUUACUGGGUGUAAAGCGCGAGCAGGCGGUUGUGCAAGUCAUGUGUGAAAGCGCUCAGGCUCAACCGGGCGAGGACGGGUGAAACUGCACAACUGGAGGCAGGUAGAGGCGGAUGGAAUUCCGGGUGUAGUGGUGAAAUGCGUAGAGAUCCGGAGGAACACCAGUGGCGAAGGCGGUCCGCUGGGCCUGGCCUGACGCUCAGACGCGAAAGCAUGGGGAGCGAACGGGAUUAGAUACCCUCGUAGUCC
rnacentral:rRNA from 1 species